rnacentral:rRNA from 1 species
GAUGAACGCUGGCGGCGUGCCUAAUACAUGCAAGUCGAGCGAACAGAUGAGGAGCUUGCUCCUCUGACGUUAGCGGCGGACGGGUGAGUAACACGUGGAUAACCUACCUAUAAGACUGGGAUAACUUCGGGAAACCGGAGCUAAUACCGGAUAAUAUAUUGAACCGCAUGGUUCAAUAGUGAAAGACGGUUUUGCUGUCACUUAUAGAUGGAUCCGCGCCGCAUUAGCUAGUUGGUAAGGUAACGGCUUACCAAGGCAACGAUGCGUAGCCGACCUGAGAGGGGGAUCGGCCACACUGGAACUGAGACACGGUCCAGACUCCUACGGGAGGCAGCAGUAGGGAAUCUUACGCAAUGGGCGAAAGCCUGACGGAGCAACGCCGCGUGAGUGAUGAAGGUCUUCGGAUCGUAAAACUCUGUUAUUAGGGAAGAACAAAUGUGUAAGUAACUGUGCACGUCUUGACGGUACCUAAUCAGAAAGCCACGGCUAACUACGUG